GGGUCAGCAGGUUGGUCGUGCCACCGGUACGUACUGGUCUCACUGAUUCCUCCUUCCUGAAGACCCGUAAUGCCAUUAAUUUGGUGUUGCGGGGAAACAGGACUGUUACUAUGAAAAAAUUAGAGUGUUUAAAGCAAGCUAACGCUUGAAUACAUUAGCAUGGAAUAAUGAAAUAGGACGAUCGAUCCUAUUUUGUUGGUUUCUAGGAUUGACGUA
rnacentral:rRNA from 1 species